UAGGGAAUCUUCGGCAAUGGGGGCAACCCUGACCGAGCAACGCCGCGUGAGUGAAGAAGGUUUUCGGAUCGUAAAGCUCUGUUGUAAGAGAAGAACGAGUGUGAGAGUGGAAAGUUCACGCUGUGACGGUAUCUUACCAGAAAGGGACGGCUAACUACGUGCCAGCAGCCGCGGUAAUACGUAGGUCCCGAGCGUUAUCCGGAUUUAUUGGGCGUAAAGCGAGCGCAGGCGGUUAGAUAAGUCUGAAGUUAAAGGCUGUGGCUUAACCAUAGUACGCUUUGGAAACUGUUUAACUUGAGUGCAGAAGGGGAGAGUGGAAUUCCAUGUGUAGCGGUGAAAUGCGUAGAUAUAUGGAGGAACACCGGUGGCGAAAGCGGCUCUCUGGUCUGUAACUGACGCUGAGGCUCGAAAGCGUGGGGAGCAAACAGGAUUAGAUACCCUGGUAGUCCACGCCGUAAACGAUGAGUGCUAGGUGUUGGGUCCUUUCCGGGACUCAGUGCCGCAGCUAACGCAUUAAGCACUCCGCCUGGGGAGUACGACCGCAAGGUUG
rnacentral:rRNA from 1 species